UAACGUUCCCGGGCCCUUGUACACACCGCCCGUCAAGCCACGAAAGGAGAGAGCGCUCAAAGUCGCCUAGUGCGCCUAAAGCGAGAUCUCUAAUUGGGGCU
rnacentral:rRNA from 1 species